AGCUGGAUUGGCAGGCAGGCAGAAAGGUGGGGGGCAGAAAGGUGGAGGGGCAGAAAGGCAGGCGUGCAGGGAGGUGGAGGGGCAGACAGGUGGAGGGGCAGAAAGGCAGGCAUGCAGGGAGGUGGAGGGGCAGAAAGGUGGAGGGGCAGAAAGGCAGGCGUGCAGGGAGGUGGAGGGGCAGACAGGUGGAGGGGCAGAAAGGCAGGCGUGCAGGGAGGUGGAGGGGCAGACAGGCAGGCGUGCAGGGAGGUGGAGGGGCAGACAGGUGGAGGGGCAGAAAGGCAGGCGUGCAGGGAGGUGGAGGGGCAGACAGGUGGAGGGGCAGAAAGGCAGGCAUGCAGGGAGGUGGAGGGGCAGACAGGUGGAGGGGCAGAAAGGCAGGCGUGCAGGGAGGUGGAGGGGCAGACAGGCAGGCGUGCAGGGAGGUGGAGGGGCAGACAGGUGGAGGGGCAGAAAGGCAGGCAUGCAGGGAGGUGGAGGGGCAGAAAGGUGGAGGGGCAGAAAGGC